CCGCUCGGGAGGGAGCGCGGCGGGGGCAGGAGGAAGCGGCGCUGCCCAGCCCGGGCCGGGCCCCCAUCUCCCGUCUCGGUGACAGGAAUACAGGGCAUUGGCAGGCGGAGAUGUACCCUGUGGCUUGGGCUUUCUCUGCAAGGCCAGUGGGGAUGAAACCAGUAACAAAGACCCUGACUUUGCUUAAUGACCAAGGCUCACUUAGAUAACGAACCGGCGCUGCUGUUGGCAGAGAGCCUUCUAAUGCUCGCUGCAGCGUGGCCUGUGAAAGUGGGAAGGCGGAUUGGAAGGAAAGAGCUGCCUAAGUCCUAUUUCCUUACAACCAAAGGAGAUGAUCUUCUCUUGGUUUGGGUUGAUCAUUAUUUGUCACUGUUUAUUAAGCGUGAUUUACUGAGAACUUUUAUGUUCCAGGUAUCACAUAGUUUAUAGUCACUCGCUACAAUCCUGCACAGUUUUGUUGCUGAUUUUCUUUUUUUUUAUAAAAGAGAAAAUUGAGUUUCA